UCCCUGAUGGCUCAAACGGUAAAAGCAUCUGCCUACAAUGUGGGAGACCCGGGUUCGAUCCCUGGGUAGGGGAG
rfam:Ovis aries breed Texel chromosome 1, whole genome shotgun sequence.